rnacentral:rRNA from 1 species
CCUUUGCUGGUAGCGGCGGACUGGUGAGUAACGCGUGGGUGACCUGCCUUUAUGUCGGGGAUAGCCGUUAGAAAAUAGCGGGUAAUACCGGAUGAGAUCGCAAGACUGUGGUUGUGUGAGGAAAGAUGCCACGGCAUCGCCUGAAGAUGGGCCCGCGUCCCAUUAGCUAGUUGGUGGUGUAAAGGACUACCAAGGCGAAGAUGGGUAGCCGGCCUGAGAGGGUGAACGGCCACACUGGGACUGAGAUACGGCCCAGACUCCUACGGGAGGCAGCAGCUAAGAAUAUUCCGCAAUGGACGAAAGUCUGACGGAGCGACGCCGCGUGGAUGAGGAAGGCCGAAAGGUUGUAAAAUCCUUUUGCAGAUGAAGAAUAAGUGGAUGGAGGGAAUGCCAUCAUGAUGACGCUAGAUCUGUGAAUAAGCCCCGGCUAAUUAC